rnacentral:lncRNA from 1 species
UUUUUCGGUUUAAAGCCCAACAUUCUGCAUGUCUCUCUCACAAAAAUACUCAGAAAAGUAGAGGGCUUCGCCUUCGUAUAUCGUCGGAGAAGACGACAAAGAAAUUUACAGUAUUUUGAAUCGAACAGAGACGCCCAUUUGGGGGGAUUGGAAGGCAAGAUCUCAACAAGAAGUGAAUGGGUCAAAUGGGUAAGGAUUGAUUCAUGGGUUUGUUGGGUUUUAUCAACCAGAUUGGGGAGAGAACAAUUGAUGAUUGAUUUGGAGCUUGGUUGCUCUGUUUUAUAAUUGAUGUUGAGUAGUCCUCCUAUGGCCGUUUCUCUCUCC